CCUACGGGUGGCAGCAGUGGGGGAUAUUGCACAAUGGGGGAAACCCUGAUGCAGCGACGCCGCGUGUGGGAAGACGGUCCUCUGGAUUGUAAACCACUGUCCCCAGGGACGAAGAUGACGGUACCUGGGGAGGAAGCUCCGGCUAACUACGUGCCAGCAGCCGCGGUAAUACGUAGGGAGCAAGCGUUGUCCGGAAUUACUGGGGGAAAAGGGAGCGUAGGCGGGAUGGCAAGUUGGGUGUUAAAUCUACCGGCUAAACUGGGAGUCGCACUCAAAACUGACAUUCUUGAGUGAAGUAGAGGAAGGCGGAAUUCCUAGUGUAGCGGUGAAAUGCGUAGAUAUUAGGAGGAACACCAGUGGCGAAGGCGGCCUGCUGGGCUUUUACUGACGCUGAGGCUCGAAAGUGUGGGGAGCAAACAGGAUUAGAUACCCGAGUAGUC
rnacentral:rRNA from 1 species